ensembl:lncRNA
UUGUAGAAAUCUUUACAGCUGGUACAUUAGGCGUUUUGAGCAAAUUAUGGUUUUUAGUCUCUGGCAUUCUCUUAUUCUCUCUAAUCUGAAUGUUUUUGACCGAUCAUGUUUGAACAGACUCUAGUCGGUGAACCUUCUUACCUUUUGAGCAUGUUACUCCUGUCCAUUCAUCAGGACAGAUGCAGACACCGUUCUCUGGUUUCCCUCCGUUAUCACAUGUCAGAGCAGUGGUGGUAGGAGGGGUAAGCGUAGUUGGGGAUAUAGUGGUUGUAGUAGUAUUAGCAGUAGUAAUAGGUAUAGUAGUUGAAUUAUAAUGAGUAGUGUUUGCUGAAGGAAUUGUUGUAGGAUUAGGAGGUAAAGUACUGUUAGUGUAUGGGCUCGUAGCAUUAGUACCGAUUGUAGUAGGAGUACUGUAAGUAGUAAUAUUUGCACCAGUAGUUGGGUAGAAAGUAGCAGUAGUGUUUGUGUAAGGAGUAGUUGUAUUAGUAUCACUUGUAAUAGUAGUAACAGGAGAAUAGUGAGUAGUAUUCAUUUGAUCAGUCAUGGGGUUGGAGGUAGUAUCAGUUAUCUGACUAACAGUCGUAUCAGGCCUGGUCAAAUCUGUGGUUGUAAGAACAGGACUGGAACUAGUGGGAGGAGUUUCUGGAUAUUCUGGUGUUUCCGGGUCAGUGGUUGGAUCAGUAUCUUGUGUUGUGGUACUCAAAUUAGAAGUAUUAGAUGAAGUGGUAUUGUUAGGAACUGUUGUUAUAGUAGUGAUAUCCUCUGGAGUUACAGUAGUAAUGCUUUGUUCAGUAGUUAUAUUUUGUGCAGUAGUAGAAUCAUCAGGAACAUCAGUAGUAAGGAGUGCAGUAGCUGCAGUAUCAGGGAUGUCUGUUGAAGUUAACUCUGCUCCAGCUGUGAAGGAGGCUAAAGGAACAGGAACAUUACAAUGAUCAGUUAGUUCAUUAAAAGUGCUAACAUGCUGAUACUUAGCACGUACGCUAUUUACUAUACCUGAUCUUAGUAUGUCAUCAUUAGUGUUCUGAAGGUUACUUUUAAAAUGUAUUCCACUACAGAUUACAGAAUACAUGCCCCAAAAUGUAUUUUGUAACGUAUUCCGUUACGUUACUCAAUGAGAGUAACGUAUUCUGAAUAAUUUGGUAUACUUAAUAUAUUAUCAUGCUAUUUACAACUACAUGAAUGUACUAUUGUUGUGUGAUUUAUUACUAUUACUGAAGGUUACUCACCAUGCCAAUACCAACUAGAUUUUUAAAUGUUAAUAUAAAAUGAGUAACAGGAGGGUGGACAUUAGGUAAGGCUGCACUUUUUUGCAGCGAUCUCGUAUAGAAAACUAUUCCAUGCGUAUAUAAAACGGGUCUGCGGCUCCGAACUGUAGUAAAGGGACCUCUGGCUAAUACGUCGGGUUCCGUGUCGGGCUCGUAGCCGAAAACUAGCUUUACUUUGUUGUCUGGGUUUUUGCUAGCGAGAGACCGAGAGAGGCGUUGAAAGACUGCUCCUAUGGAACUUACUGUUUCGGAGGAAAACACGAACACAGUGUACAGUCGAUAUUUACAUGCUUCAUACAUGUUAUGCCUGUAACACUCUGCCUAUUGCCUUCAUAUUAAAUAAUUUUUUGAAUAAUGAUUUUAAAAAAUAUUUCUUCACGUCAUUAUGCCGCAAGUAGAGGUGACAUGGGCUGUGAGAUUGAGACCCAGGCAUUAGAGCCUCUUAAUGUGUGUUUUGUUUGGGUUUCCACCGGUGUGGAAUUUUGUUGGUGUGAUUUGCACUUCAGGGCCACCGUAGAGGGCAUAGCCUAACAUAUGAAACAGGAAAAGACCCAUUUAUUUCAACAAAGUAACUGUAUUCUAAAUACCACCUUUUUAAACGGUAACUGUAACGGAAUACAGUUACUCAUAUUUUGUAUUUGAAAUACGUAACGGCGGUACAUGUAUUCUGUUAUUCCCCAACACUGGUCAUCAUUAAAAUUAAGCACAAAGCCCAGAUCCAGAUAGUAUUUAAGGUACGGUUGAUAAAGAUGGACAUCGGAACCCUGUUAUCACAAUCCAUCCACCCAGUUUUGAAAAAAAAAAAAAAAAAUUCCAACAAACUAUGAACAAAUGACUGAUACUGUGAUACUGUGGGAAAAAAAUUGACAUAAGAGGAAAACAAUUAUUACACAAUACUGAAAGCCUCAAGAUGCACCCAUAGUAUCAAUUUAAAAAUCCUAGGUAACAUCUUUCUACAGUUGCUAUGUUCACAAACUUUCCUGGUCGUCCAGUCAGCCAUAACAACCAUUAUGACAUAUUAAUGAUAAUAGCUGGAAUAAAGCCUUCCCACUGAGUUCAGCUGAGACAGACUGUAGAAUAGUUAUGACUGCAACCUUGUGAUAAUGCAGCUGUGACUCUGACUUUACAGUUACGUCUGUGACAGUAACAGUGACUGUGACACACUGAACACACACAGUAUAAACUGAUGUCCAUACACUGACCACAGCUUGAAGAACAGCAGCUGUCAGAGAUCAAUAUUAUUUCUGUAUUACAGAAACAAUAACAACACAGUAAAACGUCUCCAGACGGGAAGACAGUAUCAGCAAUGUAGCAUCACUUUGUGUGUGGACAGAGUUUACUGUUCACAUGGAUCAGAAGAAAUGUAAAACAAAAAACAAAAAAAUGAAUAAAUACCUGACCUUCUUACUAGUUUAUAAUACUCAUUAAUUUUGUAUCCAUUAACAAUGAACUUAGACAUAACACAUUAUCAGUAUUAUUCUUUUACUUACACUUAUAUGAAAUUGAUGCUUGUAUUAUGUUUGAGAAGAGCAACAAGAAACAAUAAAUUUUAUCCUAAGCUGUCUGUGUAACUUAAUGAAUCAUACAUAUAAACUUUAUUUGAACAGUCAAAAUGAGAGAGUUAUUGUGCAAUUAUGACCUCCUAACUCAACACACUAACGGCUCUAGAAGUGUCAGAAACCGAGAAGCUCAGUUUUUCUUACCCAGAGUGAAAACAAGCCAAAUCCAGCUGUCCAUGAUGAUGAGCAGCUGCAGACCAGGUUUCCUGAGUCGUCACAGUCCAGUUUGUUAAAAGUUUUAACAAUCCUGUUGCUGUGGGAGUCUGUGUGAAAACACCCAGUUCUAGUGCUUCAAAAGGAGCCACCGAUAAAAUAAUGAUGAACAUCAAAGCAGCUCAAAGGUUCAUUUUAACUGUUGCAGGCAUCUUUCCAAUGCCAAAGUUUAUGGUUUCUUUGUUUUAUCUGACGUUUAUUUCAGUUUAUAUUACUUGUUGGUUGCAUUGUCUGUUUAUUAAUGCCGUCACAGCUGCUGGACUGGGGCCACAAAUCGGAUGUUUUGCGCAUACUAUUUGAUAGGUUUGUAGCUUAAACCUAUUCGCUGGAACGUUGAAGGCAAUGUGAUUACACAGCAAGCAAGACACGAGUAGGCAACAUUCUUUAUGUUUCACGUGCACGGGAGAGAACUGGACAGGCGCUGUUCCUUUGCUUGACCCCAGUUGCUCUCGUCCGCUCUCCCGUAACACUGCUCUUUUAUUGUGGUUACAUGAAUAUGCAUAGGUUCAUUAACAUGUGACAUCUUAUAUAGGUAUGCAUGUGAACAAAGAAUACCCUGAGUGUGUGUGUGUGUGUAUCUAUAUGUGUAUGGGGUCAAGAUGUGACCCCAGGAAGACUCCCCAAAGCUGGUGCCAGGAGUCUAGCGGUACAUCUGAACAAAAGGCUCUUAGACUCAAACAGAUAUACGUGUGUUUGCUAUACCAUAUAUCAGCAAGAGAAGAUACGACCUCUCCUAGGAGGUGUGUGAUCUAUGCCAGAACACUCUGAAGAGGAGUGAACGCACUCCCCUCUUCAUGCUACACAGAGUUGUUACAGACCUCCUAGGAUGAGACAUUCUUUCAAUCUACAAAUGAUUAUAUACUUCUAAGCAUAUAUGAGUAAAUAUUUCUAAGCAUAAAUGACAAUCACACUACAAAUCUAACAUUUCCCCCCUUUUGGCAAUUAUGCUAGAAAACGGUACAUCUGAACAAAAGGCUCUUAGACUCAAACAGAUAUACGUGUGUUUGCUAUACCAUAUAUCAGCAAGAGAAGAUACGACCUCUCCUAGGAGGUGUGUGAUCUAUGCCAGAACACUCUGAAGAGGAGUGAACGCACUCCCCUCUUCAUGCUACACAGAGUUGUUACAGACCUCCUAGGAUGAGACAUUCUUUCAAUCUACAAAUGAUUAUAUACUUCUAAGCAUAUAUGA